UACGUAGGGUGCGAGCGUUGUCCGGAAUUAUUGGGCGUAAAGGGCUCGUAGGCGGUUUGUCGCGUCGGGAGUGAAAACUCAGGGCUUAACCCUGAGCCUGCUUCCGAUACGGGCAGACUAGAGGUAUGCAGGGGAGAACGGAAUUCCUGGUGUAGCGGUGAAAUGCGCACAUAUCAGGAGGAACACCGGUGGCGAAGGCGGUUCUCUGGGCAUUACCUGACGCUGAGGAGCGAAAGUGUGGGGAGCGAACAGG
rnacentral:rRNA from 1 species